rnacentral:rRNA from 1 species
UACGUAGGGUGCAAGCGUUAAUCGGAAUUACUGGGCGUAAAGCGUGCGCAGGCGGUUUUGUAAGUCUGUCGUGAAAGCCCCCGGCUCAACUGGGGAGGGUCACGCGAUACUGAUCGACUCGAAGGCAGGAGAGGGUAGUGGAAUUCCCGGUGUAGUGGUGAAGUGCGUAGAUAUCGGGAGGAACACCAGUGGCGAAGGCGGGUCUCUGGGCCGAUACUGACGCUGAGGAGCGAAAGCGUGGGGAGCGAACAGG